ACAUUCUCCUUUGCCCUAUUAACCUUUCCUUUCCCUUACCUCUGGUGGGCUGUGGGCUAAAGAGAGGUUAAAGCAUUUAAGUACACUUAUUAAAGUAGGUUUUGAAAAAUAUAGCUGGGUGUGGUGAUGCACGCCUUUAAUCCCAGCACUCAGGAGGCAGAGGCAGGCGGAUUUCUGAGUUCGAGGCCAGCCUGGUCUACAAAGUUGAGUUCCAGGAUAGCCAGAGCCAUACAGAGAAACCCUGUCUCGAAAAACAAAAAGAAAAACAAAAAAGAAAGAAAGAAAAAAGAAAAAAUAAGCCUACCAUAUACAGCAAGCCAAUAGCCAACAUCAAAUUAAAUGGGAAGAAGUUUAACCCAAUUCCAUCAAUGUCAAGAAGAAGGUAAGGCUGUCACUCUCUCCAUAUCUCUUCAGUAUAGUACUUCAAGUUCUAGCUAAAGCAAUAAGACACUAAAUGAAAUCAAGGGGGUUUAAAUGGGAACAGAAGAUGUCAAGGUAUCACUAUUUGCAGGUGAUAUGAUAGUAUACAUAAGUGACCACAAAACCUUUACCAAAGAACUCCUACUGCUGAUAAACACCUUCAGCAAAGUGGUUGGAUGCAAAAUUAACUACAAAAGAUCAGUAACCCUCCUUUGUACAAAUGAUAAACAGGCUGCGAAAGAUAUCAGGGAGACAACACCCUUUAUAAUAGCCACAAAUAAUAUAAAAUAUAUGGAUGUAACUCUAUCCAAAGAAGUGAAAGAUCUGUAUGACAAGAACUUCAAGUCUCUGAAGAAAUAAAUGUUAGAAGAUGUCAGAAGAUGAAAAGAUCUGCCAUGCUCAUGUAUUGGUAGAAUUAGCCUACUGAAAAUGGCCAUCUUACCAAAAGCAAUAUACAAAUUAAAUUCAAUUCCCAUCAAAAUUCCAAAACAAUUAUUUACAAACCUUCAAGGACAAUUUUCAACUUUAUAUGGGAAAAAAAAAAUCCCAGGAUAGCUAAACAAUCCUGUACAACAAAAGACUGUCUGUUUUGGUUUUUGUUGUUGUUUUGUUUUUCUUUUUCUUCUUUUUUUUAUUUUUUAUUUUUUUUUUAUUUUGAGACAGGAUUUCUCUGUAUAGCCCUGGCUGUCCUGGAACUCACUCUGUAGACCAGGCUGGCCUCUAACUCAGAAAACUGCCUGCCUCUGCCUCCUGAGUGCUGGGAUUAAAGGCAUGCGCCACCACGCCCAGCCCCAAAAGAACUUCUGGAGUUAUCACCUUACAAAUAUCUUAGAAAAAUGUUUAAUGAAUAGAGAGAAUCUUACCUUGUUGGGGAUUACAAAUUGCUCCGGAAAAGAUACAAAGAGAUACUCUAUUAAUUUCUACGAUAUAAGGUAAUUUGUAGGAAAUUAGACCACAGAAGGUACAAUCAGGAGAGACCGAUUAAGAACUGUUAAUGAUUUUGAAAAGUUGUUGAGAGAUAUUAACUGGCUAAAGUUGAUAAGUGUAAUAACUACUCAAGAGCUAAGUAAUUCAUUUCAAACCUUAUAUAAUGAUAAAGAACUAAAUAGUUCAAGAAAAUUAUCAGCUGAGGCUGAAGAGGAAUUGGCUCUAUUAAAAGAGAAACUACAUGAUGCACAUAUAGAUGGUAAUGUUCCAAAAGUGGCCUGUAAAUUAGUUAUAUAGCCUUCUAGUCAUUCUCCUGCAAGAAUUCUUAUGUAGUGAGAAAAUAGUGUCUUCAAAUAGAUAUUUUUAGCACACCGAGUAAAAAAAAAAAUUAAAGACCUAUAUAGAAAAGGCUUUUGAAAGUCUGGAGCAAGACACAGGACAGCCAAGGUUAGGCAACGAAGGAGUUGGAAAAAAGGAAGCUAAUGAUAGUAUAAUAGAACAAGAGGGCUGCGUUCCAGCUCCUAUAAGCAGCAGAAUUUAACAGCUUCAGCCAUAUGUCUCUGGCUUUAUAUUCAAGAGGAGAAGGAGACUACUGGAACAAUUGAUGCUGGUUAGCUGGAGCUAAGACAUUAGUGGUGAAUAAAAAGGGACCACCAUGACUGAGGUGAAAUAUCAAAGAAGCUAUUUUCCAGAUAUAGCCAAGGUUGUACUUCAUGCUGCAUUUGUAUUUGGUAAUAUGUAAGAGCCACCCUAUGGUACUGGUUGUAAAGUCACGAAGCCAACAUGAACAACAGCGGAGGCUCGGUAGUAUAAGAGGCCAUGAAAGGCCAUUGGUGAAGGUGCAGCCCCAGUUGACAGUUGCAGUUGACAGCUAAAGACUGAAGGAGUGAACUGUAAAAAAAUAAAAGUUAUAAAUUGUAAUAAUAAAAAACUAUGGU
rnacentral:lncRNA from 1 species